CCGCCAUGGUACUCUGCAUCCCGAGCUCCCGUGCUCGCGCGGCUUCCUGCUCGUCGGUGCUUAGACUGAAGCUCGCCCGGCGCGCCCAUCUCUCUGUCUCCCCAACGCUCGCCAUCGUCUCCUGUCUGGUCGCGCCCUGCUCCGCCGUCGUGUUCUAGCCGCGCGUGCUCUGGUGGCCGUCGUGCUGAUCGCCGGCUGAAACCCCUUUAGUGCCUGACACUGCAUCUCCCUGGUGUUCGCCUCUGUUUUCCCCUGGCGCCGAGCCCCUCCACCCUGUCCUAGCAGCAAAAGCCCAGCCACUGCGCAAGCUACCUGCUCGAUAGAAUGUUCAGCCGCUCGUCAGAUCUGCGCAGUCCCUGCACGAUGUCGCAAAAUCCGCUCGUUGUCGAUGCCGCGCUUCGUGCAUCGUGUGUUCGACGAAAAUCUCCAGCAUGUGGACAGCACACGCGUGAGCCGAGUUUGGUUUGGCCAGUUGUUCGGUUUGCGAUUUACUCUUCCUGCGAUUAUAGUACUCUGAUGGACCCUGUUUUGCUCUCGACCUCUCAGCACGUGGGUUACAGCAUCAGGUACGAUCCAGUGGUAAGAAUUCGUCAUGACGUCGUGUGGCUAGGAGAUGGGAGGUAGGUCAGUCUUCGGGCAGAUCCGAUGGUGUAACAGCAAGGCUCGUACGACACUCGUCUGAUGCUCGACAAGAAGCCUGAUUCGGGGGUGGCUACCCCGUCUUCUUCGUCGUAUGGGAGUCAUCGUGCUUCCGACUAUCUCGUCGAAUUAGUCAGGGUAAGCCAAUUUGUUAAUCAUGUUAGUGGAUUGAUGAAUGGUCUGACUAGGUAUAUUAAUCGUGAUGAUUUUGCAGUGAGUCGGAUUGCUAUUUCUGUUAUUAGUUCGAUGAAGGGAAUUGUUAGAUAUACUAAUUAUAUCGGUCCUAUUGCCUUAGUAUAUAUGUGUCGUGGUGGUAGGUAUAAUAUUUAUUAGGAUGCCCGAGUCGUUUACGGUGAUUUGGUCGAUGUCGUGUAGUGAAAGAUGUCUCAAUAGGUCCCAGUGCUUGCGGGAUUAUAGGUGUUAAAAAUGGGAAGUUUUAUUAAUAUAUAUGAUACACAGGUUAACCGGAAAAUUAGUUUAGAAAGUUAAUGAAAGUUCUUCUAUCAAAUUUUAUAAGUAUUAGGUGUCCAAGAAUGGUAAAGUUAAAGUUAUAAGUCGUUAGUGUGCUCUUUAAACUAGGUAUAAUAUGCUGUCUGUGUUGGUCACUUUCAUAAUUGGAAUGGAUGUUGAUUGCUACCUCGAAUAUUUAGUUAAGGCUGUAAUUCAAGUUAAUUAAGACACACGGUUUAGGGAGUUAAUAAAAAGCUAGAAACAAAAAUGACUCCACAUGCGGAUAUUAAUCAUAAUAUCUUGUGAGAUUAGUUUAAAUCAUAUCUAGUUAGAUUGUAAGAGCAUGAUUGUCGUAAGUAACAAUAUAUCGAUAAUUAGUGUCCGCAAUGCCUUGUCAUUAAGUGGGUUAUUCCUCUUUUGCGUAGCAUCGUAAUAUCUUGUGUUAUUCUUCCUUAUAUGCAUUCAUGUGCAUUAUGCAAAUCAUCUAGGUACGUUUAUUGACUACGUGAUGUGGAGAACCAAAGCGAAGUCGACCACAAGAUGUCGUUGCGCGUGAGCUUCUCCACAAGAUGAUGCUGAUGAACGAACCUGAAGAUGGAUACUCUGAAAGAGUGCCAAGACAAAGGAUGAUCGUCAAGUGGACGCCAUCUAACAAACACUAACCUAGUGUUUAUUCCAGGCAAGCCCCGGUGCAUUCGCCACCUCCUUGUGUUUUAAAAUCUUUAUCACCUUGGUUGAUGCAUUAGGUGAUAGGAGUUGUGUGUUAAACCGUUGAUGCAUUUUCUUCCUUGAAAAUUGAUUACCCUUCCUUGAUACCCGUUUUGAAAAGAAUUUUUUGAUGCUUAGCCUUUCUCUAGAAAAACAAAAUGUUUUGUUUUAAAACAAAAGGUGAUGCUUCAAGUGGGAUGGGAUGUUUUCAAAAAUAAAAACUUGAUGGUGGAUCCAUCAUGGCCAUGAUGGAUUCAACAUCGGAAAAGAUGUACCUCUGCCAGGUACCAAACUUUGGGUUUAAAUUAUAAAGCUGAGACCGGGCGGGUGACUUGCACGAGAAAGGAGUCUCGAUGUAGUGUCUUCGUCUGAGUCGUUUAAGGACCGUACCGAUUGUUGGCCUGCUGAUCUAGGACCCUUUAUCUGGCCACAUACCUCGUCAUGGGUAAGCUUGAACCCGGCUAUUCCAAACAUGAAAAGACAAUCGCGCACUGGGAGUGGAGAGAUGGCGAGAGUGGCACGUACCCUCCUGACAAAGGACCGCCUAAAAGGGGUGGUGUGCUCUCGGGUGGCGCGGACCUGUUCAUGUGGUGGAGGAUCCGUGGGAAUGGUAGACAUGUGCAAAAGAGUUAAGAGAAGCAUAUGUCGUGUGGUUGGAGAUCCCCAGCUGGGUAUUAAUCGAUUCAGAUCGCCGAACUUCUCGGAUAUGAAGACUGGAUCUUCGACCCUCAUCGUAGAUAACAAGCGAAACAAAGGUUGGAUUUUAAAAGAAAGCUAGUGUAGGACAAGUGAAUGCUCUACAUUAGGCAAAUCUAGAUUCAGAAAAAGUACUUAACUUAUGAUGUAAAAUUUUGGCUUAAGGACCCACUUCUAGUAAGCUUUUCUGCAAAUGAGUCUUUGAUUCUUGAUAAGCCAUACCUUGAAUCCCUCUAGCCAGCAUACCCUUGAGAGUCUUUUCUUUAGUCGGGUAAGUCUUGCUGAGUAAUUCCGUACUCAGUGUUUUAUUCCCUGUUGUUUUUCAGGUUCUAACUUUGUGCUAUUGUUGAUGGUGUUAAGUGCCGGUGGGCUCGGCCUUCUUAUAAGUCUAAGUAACUCUUCUAUACUUCUUAUUGAGGAUGUUCACUUGAGCUAGCAUAUAUUUUAAAACUAUAAAUAAUUUAUAAUAGUUUAAAGUUAUUUCUUUGAACCACUUCUGUAACCACUCCGAUAAAUAUAAUGUAAAACUUGAUGUAACUUGUAAAAUUUGGUAAAAAGAUUUCCGCUGCAAAAUGUUGGUGUGUGAUUUGUGUUUACUUAAUCUUGUGAUCCUGGUUGUUCGUGGUUUAUCCGGGGUCCCUGGGACACUCGGACAGAUCCUGUUAAGUUAUCUGGUGCAUAUGCAUAGCCGUCUGAGGUCUUUGAGACAAGGGCAGGUGCAUGUGGGCCCAAUAACUUGGGAGGUUCUGCCACAGCUGGUAUCGGAGCAGGAUUAAGUAUAUACGGUCACAUACGACUUUUCAAAACAAAAGUUUUGGUUUCGAAAAACCUAUUUUCAACUAAACACAUUGUUUGGCUUUGAAAAAUAGUUUUGAAAAACUAUAAUGCUAGCGACAUCCUCUAUUAAGCCCUAAGUUAAGGACUAUCAGGUGGCUUAUUUAAAAACCACUAACCCACAACUGGGGGUAUUGCAUACAUGUGUAUUGUUAUUUUUGAGGCCAUUCAGUUUUGAAUGGAUCGACGCUCAAGGUAAGGUGAGAUGUGAGAGCAUGACCGAACAAACGUCGGUCUAGGGGAGUGCUUAAUUGUGGCGCUUGAUUAUAUACAUGUUCCACAUAUGUAUAUAUGAAGGCUACGAUGUGGAGUAUUUACUUUUCCGAGAAUUCAGUACCCCAUGGAUGUGUAUGGGUAUACAGACAUGAGAAUACUGAGAAGUGUAAUGUACUUGUAACGAUGCACCUACGCUCAGGUAAGAAGGUGAGUUACCAUAAUGAGUUGCCCUAUGGUUAAAGUGUGGCAACGGCGCCUAUGUGUGGCUCGGCGCUUAAUGAAGAGCUGGCCUCCAUAUAGCAAUAUAUGGAGUAUAAAUUGUGAUAAACUGUUAUGUGUGACUUGCAUCAUUGGGAAUUGGGCUGUGAUGGAUUUUUCUGCAGGUACACUAACCUCGAAAACGUAUGUGUAGCUGACGACUAGCAAAAUACUGUGAGAGUCGUAAGUAUGCCACCGAGAUAGAACGCUACUGCCACAGUAUGUUGGCAAAAUCAGUGAGGACGUAUAGGACGAGCAUGCAUCCUAAUUGUUGCAUCAUGUUUGCCACCUAUACACCCAAAAUGCUUCUCUCAUCUUUAUUCUAGUAACCAUUGAUUGUAGAUAAUGUGGUGUAAGGCUGAAUUAUGAACUUCGAUGAAAUAGGUGUCCUCCAUUCUUUAGGUAAUCUAUUAAGGUCUUAUAUGGUGUUUGCUUUUGUGCUUGAUGUGUCGAUAGAAGGUUAGUGACUUGUUUGCCUAAACCCAGAAUUAGGCCAUGUUCUUAUUUAGUGAACCAUGACCCAAAACUUAAAUUUUUCCGUUAUCACUUCAGGACCAAACACAUAAAAAUAAAUGCCUAGAUAAUUUCUUUGUUGGACCUAAAGUGUACCCAGCUUAAAACAAAAAUUUCGAGUCAUGUCUCCAUCCUAAACCAUGUCCUUGUUCGGUUGGUGCAAGCUGAUGUACCUUAUCCAGUUUGCCUGUUUUUAAGGACCGCCAUGUUACUUUAUCAACCUAACCUAGGAAAGACAUGUCGGACCAUUUUCUUGUAUUUGAUGCCUUUGGUUUCCCCAUACCUAUCGAAGGCAUACCAAUUUAAUCCUUGACCUUGUGAUCUCUAUGAUGGGCACAGAAAUAUGCUUGGGGCUGAAUUAACAGUCUCCCAUCGUACUCCCUCCUCAAUUUAUUUUUGGUUAUGGCCGUGCCUUAUUCAUUUCAUCGGGCCAUGAUCUAUUGGCUCUCUACUUGUAGCCAUUUUGACAGGUAGAGUCUCUUUGUACAUUGUCACCCUUGCCCAAUUCAAUUGUGUCGCGUGAGAUUUCUUAUUGGUUAUGUCUGAUAAUGGUGUUAUGACUAAAACCUGUGGUGCCGUGACGAAACCGAGGGCCUUCUGUGUGUGCGCACAUGGUUGCGCUACUCGGCACACGCUAGUAUCACAGUUAGUAGUCAUAAUCCAUUAUGAGAUUAUAUCAAUAUGUUAUCUUUCAUAGACCUCCUCCUUGAAACAAUUUCUAUGUUGUUUGUGAAGUGGUCAAGCAACAUCUGUCAUCUCCGGUGGAUCAAAAGGGCAUACCACUUUCAUGUGUGGUCUUAUUUCUUUUGAUCUUGGUAGUGACUACUCAUGCAAGUUCCCUUUACGUCCUUUGUGUAAAGGUGAAGCCUUGGAGCUUUUUAGUGUCGAGAGACAACUGAUUAGCUCUCAAAAUGGAGAUUGGAUUUUCCCUGCUGUUGAGAUGCAGGAGUUUAUUCAUUCGCUCUCCUAUUUAAUCCAUGUAUUUCCUAACUAAGUGGGUAGUUCAUCUCGCAUGAAGAAACGGAUGAACAACCUGACCAAAUGGAUUUCUACCCAAAUGCAUGACCUUUUGCUUGCAAAUGUGAGCUCUCGACCGUUGGCUUACCGAUGGUACUGAGAGGACUUGCUCAAUGUCAAAAGUAGUUCAACAAGUUGGUUUUACUAACUUGUAACUGCUUUGUGAACAAAGGUUGAGUUUAGAGAUCGUUUUAUCGAUUUGCCUGGGCUCAUCUUGGUUCAACCCAUCUUAAGGAAGUACUUUCAAAAAUCAAGAUUAAGUCGGUCGAUAACCACCUAAUUAUCGCUCUAGUCAUGCCUUGAAUGUCUCUCGUAUGCUUUUCCAGCAUGUGUGAUCAAGUCGAGCCAUGAUCAGUGCUGGAUAAAAUGGACUGGUUGUAAAGUCCGUAUCUAUAGAUCCCUCCGCUGGUGAUUCUCUCGAAUCUAUACCAUCUUUCGUGGACUUGAAUUCUCGGGUUAGCCAUAUGUUAACCGCGACAGUAUUCGACAUCCACCCCUGUCCCCUGUGCUAUGAACUUAUCGUAACCACUUGUUGGUAAACCUCUUUCUUUGUGUUUUACCUAAGAGGUUGCAACUGAUUCUGUUUGGGUAAAGUCGUAUAUCUACCGCUUGCUCAACAGACUCAGAUAGUACAGUGUCAUCAGAAAAAGCAAACUGCACACAUGGAACCUUAUGUGUUCACCUGGCAGAGAUCAUCUCUAUUGUUGGAAAUCUCCAAAUUAGCUUAAGGCGAUACAUGUUAUGUCCACUAGAGAAACAACAUCCUGAGACACUUGCCUUCGCUCAGAACUGCCUUAUAAUAUCGCUGAUAUGUACAUGGGUUACAUGCUUCUCUACUCUUGAAAGUCUUUCGCUCCGAAUCUCGGGACGAGAUUCUUUUAAGGGGGGAGGGCUGUAACACCCCAGGUGUUUAUAUUCUGCUCGACAACGAGUACGGAUUUAAGCACGUGAUAUCAGUAAAUAAGACGGGCACUAAGGUCUAAUUAUUUUUGCCUAUCGCGAUUUUAAUAUCGCAUCUGUUUCGUUUGUCGCGAGUGCGACAUCGUUAUUAUUUUUAUCUGUCCGGGCUCUUCCUGAAUUUUCUUGCUGUUCGGAACAUAUUUGUUCUGAAAAUCGGUGCGUCCGGUGAUUAUUUAAAAUUCGUCGCUCGCGAAUACGAAUUCGGAAGCUCGACUCACUCGGAUGAUUUUUAUCCUGGGCAAAUUAAUUCGAACUCGACGACUAAGGUUUUCGGUGCAAAUAAUUUUGUUCCCACUUGUCAACCGAGACAGCUCAUUCGAGGAUUUAUAAUUGAAAUUUAUUCGUUUAUCUGUCCUAAAUUAAAUCAAGCGCAGUCUAAAUUUGUCGAAGCCGAAAUUAAUUUGAUCCGGUCCGUGCGUUUCUUGUCUCGAUCUAAUUUUCUUCAAAUAGAAAUAAUGGAUACGAAUUAAUCUGACUCCGAAGUAUUCAUCAAAUCCUGUCUAAAUAUUAUUGUCUAUCUUGUUCUGGUUCUACCUUUUAUACAUCUUUUAGAUCUUAAUGUCAGAACCUCAAAAUAUCUAUAUUUUGAUUUUAUUAAAAAAAGAGAAAGAAGAUUUUUUUUCAAAUCAUCUUCUAGGAUCGGCCUUAUCUCAUCUACGGCCAUCCUUACGUAACCUCUCAUCCAUAUCCAGAGCCUGCUCGAUCUCUAUCGCUUCACCUGAUAUUCCCCAUCGUACUUGAUGCAAGCACAGAGCUAUCCCUAAUCCGUUUCCACGUACACUCCUCACGGCUCGUCACCAAGCGUCGCUUCCAUCUCUAGAUUUUCUUUCUGCUGUGCCGUCACCGCUUCCCUCUUCAAAAAUCUCAUCACCCGUCGGCCUUAUCCUGCCGCCGUCUUCAUCUUCCUCGCUGCUGCGCUCGUGCCCACACGGAGCAUCAGUUCUGGCGCAGCAGAAGCAGCCAUCCUCGCCCAGGCUUUGCUCGGCCUCCUCUCCAUCUCUCUGCGUCGGCCUCUCCUGCCUGCUGCUCGGUCCCAAGCUCCCUGUGCGCGCGGUACUCUUCCUUCCCAUGUUACUGCGCGCUCUACCUUUCUUCCCAUCUCCCUGCGCUCGCCGCGGCUCCCUGCUGCACUGCAGCUCGCCGCGCGGCUCUCAUGGCGUGCUCCUCUCUGCCGAGCGGCUCUUCCCCACGAUGCCGUCGAAUCCCGUCUUCCUCUGCUCGCGCGGGCCGCGCCCCUGCUUCCCCUCCCUAGCCGAGCUCGCCGGCCGGCCGCUCGCCCCUGUGCCUUCGCUCAGCUCGCCAUGGAGGUUGUCCGCCAUGGUACUCUGCAUCCCGAGCUCCCGUGCUCGCGCGGCUUCCUGCUCGUCGGUUCUUAGACUGAAGCUCGCCCGGCGCGCCCAUCUCUCUGUCUCCCCAACGCUCGCCAUCGUCUCCUGUCUGGUCGCGCCCUGCUCCGCCGUCGUGUUCUAGCCGCGCGUGCUCUGGUGGCCGUCGUGCUGAUCGCCGGCUGAAACCCCUUUAGUGCCUGACACUGCAUCUCCCUGGUGUUCGCCUCUGUUUUCCCCUGGCGCCGAGCCCCUCCAUCCUGUCCUAGCAGCAAAAGCCCAGCCACUGCGCAAGCUACCUGCUCGAUAGAAUGUUCAGCCGCUCGUCAGAUCUGCGCAGUCCCUGCACGAUGUCGCAAAAUCCGCUCGUUGUCGAUGCCGCGCUUCGUGCAUCGUGUGUUCGACGAAAAUCUCCAGCAUGUGGACAGCACACGCGUGAGCCGAGUUUGGUUUGGCCAGUUGUUCGGUUUGCGAUUUACUCUUCCUGCGAUUAUAGUACUCUGAUGGACCCUGUUUUGCUCUCGACCUCUCAGCACGUGGGUUACAGCAUCAGGUACAAUCCAGUGGUAAGAAUUCGUCAUGACGUUGUGUGGCUAGGAGAUGGGAGGUAGGUCAGUGUUGAGCACCAAAAUGAGGUGCGGACGGUCCGGCCCUGAGGCCGGACGGUCCGCGGUCCGGACGGUCCGCGCCUGUGGGCCGGACGGUCCGCGCACGCGCAGAAUAGAUUAGAGUUCCGAGUUUUGUGCUAUGUUUGUUAGCUAUAUCCGCGGAAUUAGCUCGGAAUCCGGUCGUGUAAAGGGUCCAGCCCCCCUCCUCUAUAAAAAGAGAGGCCUACGGCCGAUUUGUAAUCAUCAACAAUCGAAUAAAUACAACUUUUAUUCGCAUUUUAUCCUAGGAGUAAUUCUAGUCUAGUUUAGGUUUAGCCUCCCAAUCCCCAAAUUCUUCGUCUCUCUUCGGCUCUACGUCGAUUAGAGGAGUCUAGGUCGGCCGGCCCGAG
rnacentral:lncRNA from 1 species